rnacentral:rRNA from 1 species
UACAGAGGUCUCAAGCGUUGUUCGGAUUCAUUGGGCGUAAAGGGUGCGUAGGUGGCGCUGUAAGUCAGAUGUGAAAUUUCGGAGCUUAACUCCGAAACUGCAUUUGAUACUGCGGUGCUUGAGGGCUGGAGAGGAGAUUGGAAUUCACGGUGUAGCAGUGAAAUGCGUAGAUAUCGUGAGGAAGACCAGUGGCGAAGGCGGAUCUCUGGACAGUUCCUGACACUGAGGCACGAAGGCCAGGGGAGCAAACGGG